rnacentral:rRNA from 1 species
CAGUAGCCGCGGUAAUACGUAGGUGGCAAGCGUUGUCCGGAAUUAUUGGGCGUAAAGGGCUCGCAGGCGGUUUCUUAAGUCUGAUGUGAAAGCCCCCGGCUCAACCGGGGAGGGUCAUUGGAAACUGGGAAACUUGAGUGCAGAAGAGGAGAGUGGAAUUCCACGUGUAGCGGUGAGAUGCGUAGAGACGUGGAGGAACACCAGUGGCGAAGGUGACUCUCUGGUCUGUAACUGACGCUGAGGAGCGAAAGCGUGGGGAGCGAACAGGAUUAGAUACCCCAGUAGUCCCUGUCUCUUAUAC